AUCCAGCUGACGAGUCGCAAAUAGGACGAAGUGACGGGCGUCUUGAAU
rnacentral:hammerhead_ribozyme from 1 species